GAUGAACGCUGGCGGCGUGCCUAAUACAUGCAAGUCGAGCGAACGGACGAGAAGCUUGCUUCUCUGAUGUGAGCGGCGGACGGGUGAGUAACACGUGGAUAACCUACCUAUAAGACUGGGAUAACUUCGGGAAACCGUAGCUAAUACCGGAUAAUAUUUUGAACCGCAUGGUUCAAAAGUGAAAGACGGUCUUGCUGUCACUUAUAGAGGGAUCCGCGCUGCAUUAGAUAGUUGGUAAGGUAACGGCUUACCAAGGCAACGAUGCAUAGCCGACCUGAGAGGGUGAUCGGCCCCACUGUACCUCAGACCCGCCCCAGACUCCGCCGGGUGGCAGCAGUAGGGAAUCUUCCGCACUGGGCGGAAGCCUACCGGAGCAACGCCGCGUGUGUCAUGCGGGUCUUCGGCUCGUAAAACUCUGUUUUUUGGGAAGAACAUAUGUGUAAGUAACUGUGCACAUCUUGACGCUACCUAAUCAGAAAUCCCCGGCUAACUACGUG
rnacentral:rRNA from 1 species